rnacentral:rRNA from 1 species
CCUACGGGUGACAGCAGUGAGGAAUAUUGGUCAAUGGGCGGAAGCCUGAACCAGCCAAGUCGCGUGCAGGAUGACGGCCCUAUGGGUUGUAAACUGCUUUUAUACGGGAAUAACCCGCCUUACGUGUAGGUCUUUGCAUGUACCGUAUGAAUAAGGACCGGCUAAUUCCGUGCCAGCAGCCGCGGUAAUACGGAGGGUCCGGGCGUUAUCCGGAUUUAUUGGGUUUAAAGGGUGCGUAGGCCGCAUGUCAAGCUUGCGGGGAAAUGUCCGGGCUCAACCCGGGCCUUGCCGCGGAAACUGGCGGGCUUGAGUGCGCGGACGGCAGGCGGAAUGCGUGGUGUAGCGGUGAAAUGCUUAGAUAUGACGAAGAACCCCGAUUGCGAAGGCAGCUUGCUGCAGCGGAACUGACGCUGAUGCUCGAAAGCGUGGGUAUCGAACAGGAUUAGAUACCCUUGUAGUC